ACUGAUCCUCUUCGGAGGUGACGCUUGUGGAACGAGCGGCGGACGGGUGAGUAACACGUGGGCAACCUGCCUGUAAGACUGGGAUAACCCCGGGAACCGGGGCUAAUACCGGAUAAUACUUUUCAUCACCUGAUGGAAAGUUGAAAGGUGGCUUUUAGCUACCACUUACAGAUGGGCCCGCGGCGCAUUAGCUAGUUGGUGAGGUAACGGCUCACCAAGGCAACGAUGCGUAGCCGACCUGAGAGGGUGAUCGGCCACACUGGGACUGAGACACGGCCCAGACUCCUACGGGAGGCAGCAGUAGGGAAUCUUCCGCAAUGGACGAAAGUCUGACGGAGCAACGCCGCGUGAGUGAUGAAGGUUUUCGGAUCGUAAAGCUCUGUUGUUAGGGAAGAACAAGUGCCGUUCGAAUAGGGCGGCACCUUGACGGUACCUAACCAGAAAGCCCCGGCUAACUACGUGCCAGCAGCCGCGGUAAUACGUAGGGGGCAAGCGUUGUCCGGAAUUAUUGGGCGUAAAGCGCGCGCAGGCGGUCCUUUAAGUCUGAUGUGAAAGCCCACGGCUCAACCGUGGAGGGUCAUUGGAAACUGGAGGACUUGAGUACAGAAGAGGAGAGUGGAAUUCCACGUGUAGCGGUGAAAUGCGUAGAGAUGUGGAGGAACACCAGUGGCGAAGGCGACUCUCUGGUCUGUAACUGACGCUGAGGCGCGAAAGCGUGGGGAGCGAACAGGAUUAGAUACCCUGGUAGUCCACGCCGUAACGAUGAGUGCUAGGUGUUAGGGGGUUUCCGCCCCUUAGUGCUGAAGUUAACGCAUUAAGCACUCCGCCUGGGGAGUACGGCCGCAAGGCUGAAACUCAAAAGAAUUGACGGGGGCCCGCACAAGCGGUGGAGCAUGUGGUUUAAUUCGACGCAACGCGAAGAACCUUACCAGGUCUUGACAUCCUCUGCAAUCGGUAGAGAUACCGAGUUCCCUUCGGGGACAGAGUGACAGGUGGUGCAUGGUUGUCGUCAGCUCGUGUCGUGAGAUGUUGGGUUAAGUCCCGCAACGAGCGCAACCCUUGAUCUUAGUUGCCAGCAUUUAGUUGGGCACUCUAAGGUGACUGCCGGUGACAAACCGGAGGAAGGUGGGGAUGACGUCAAAUCAUCAUGCCCCUUAUGACCUGGGCUACACACGUGCUACAAUGGAUGGAACAAAGGGAAGCAAAACCGCGAGGUCAAGCAAAUCCCAUAAAACCAUUCUCAGUUCGGAUUGCAGGCUGCAACUCGCCUGCAUGAAGCCGGAAUCGCUAUAUCGCGGGCAGCAUG
rnacentral:rRNA from 1 species